CGUAGGUAACCUGCCUUAUAGUGGGGGAGUAGCCUUUCGAAAGGAAGAUUAAUACCGCAUAAGAUUGUAGUAUCGCAUGAUAUAGCAAUUAAAGGAGCAAUCCGCUAUAAGAUGGACCCGCGUCGCAUUAGCUAGUUGGUGAGGUGAUGGCUCACCAAGGCGACGAUGCGUAGCCGACCUGAGAGGGUGAUCGGCCACAUUGGGACUGAGACACGGCCCAGACUCCUACGGGAGGCAGCAUG
rnacentral:rRNA from 1 species